GAAAAGGAGUGUGUAUAAACGUCUCUCUCCGUGUUGAACAUUGUCGGUAUUUGGUGUCGGGCAGUUGGCUGGUUAACAGCGCUUUUCCGUUCUGACCAAUCAGAGCUCAGCACCAUGUCGGCUCGCGCUAUUAGAGCGUCGCGCGCCAGUCCCUCCAACAGAGAGCAGAAAGGGCUGAACAUCAGCGCGGCCAUUUUCUCCUAAGCUGGAGCUCUAUGGCCAAAAUGGGCUUCCUUUGUUUCUAAAGGGAUCUAAAGCUUGAUUUCAUCAUCAUCUUCAUCUUUAUGGACUAUUGAACACAUUACAGUGUUUCUGUGUACAGGAUUUCAGAAGAAGGAAGAUGAAAUGUUGGAUCAUAUCCCUUUGAUAUUUUUAAGCUUCUGUGCUUUUUUUUUUUCCUCUUCUCUUCCUGGAAUCCAUCUUUGUCCUACCAAACUAGGUCAUGGCACACCCAUAUAACCAGUAUUUUCUUUCUAAAAGUUAAAAUUCUACUAAAUAAAACAGCUUGUAACUGAUUAUAUAACUGCUUUAAACAAUGUAACAAAUACACAUGAAAGCUCUGAGGCCCUACACUGUGCAAGGCCAAGUAUGAAUGUGCCUUUGAGUAAGUUUAUCUUUAUUGUCUUUGCUUAGUGUUGUUUUAUUAUUAUUAUUAUUAUUAUUAUUAUUAUUACUACUACUACUACUAUUACUAAUAAAUUUGGAUUUUUCCCCCUUUUAUAUGUUCAAUCCAUGUAAGGAUUCAUGGCACUAGUUUUAAAACAAGCCAGGCCAGAGCGAGAGACUGAAAGAAAGAAAAGAAAGGACGAUUGGCCUUUUGCAUUAAAAAAAAAAAAGUGCUGAAUCACAGUCAGUAAAGCUCUAGUGGAGAUAUUUACCUUAACACUGGCUUGGAAUAAUUUUAUCAGGCCUAAACGCAGAAGAAAGAGGGACGUUUUCAUUCCCAUCGUCGGAUCCUGUAACACAGGGCUUUUACAGAGGGGUUGGCUUGCGACGCCUCAGAGCAAGAAAACCAGAAUAACCAUCUUUUCUGCCUGAUGGUGCUUUUUUUUUCUCUUAAGAAAAUGAAAUCCAGCAUAAUUUUAGAGCGCAGCCUCUGAGGAGUGAAACUGCUGGAAAUUCUUGGGGCUGAUUUUUGUUAAGAGUCUUUAUGCAAACCAUCCCCCUCAUUUUCUUGCUGAAGACAGGAUGAAGGAGAAAAAAAUGCAUGAGCUCGUCAUUUCUCAGAGACAGACAGAGAGGUAUCAUCAGCUUUUAUUAAGUUGAAAGGGGGGGCAUGCAGCUCUUUAAUGGCUGCUUAGCUGUUGUCUCUUUUCAAAAUGGCGGAUUCUCUAACAGCAGCAGCAGGAAGAAGAAGAAGAAGCCGGUCCGCCAUUUCUGGGCGAGCCACACUCGGAUACUACUUUACUAAGUAGUAGGCUAUGUGAAAACUACUUCACUUGAAGUUCAUCGCUUAUGCUUAUUAACAUGACCGUUUCGUCAAAUAAGACGACAAAGAUGGACUUAAAAUAAAUAUCACACACUACCGUACUAAAGAGUAUAUGAAAUUAAUAUGCGACAUGAGGGUUUCACAUACUACUUAGAAGGGUAGUAUGAAGGCUUUAGGACGUAGCCAUGGUGACCUACGAGCACCAAUAGAGAGGCGCAGCAUUCUCGUGCUUCCAUUUCACGCGCAGACAUUCUAACAUUCUGUUUUUAACGGCUUUUAAUAAUCUGGACGGGUUGGACCCAAAAUGGCGGGUUUUAACCAUAUAAGGACAUAAAAGUAGUUUAAAAUUUCAGUUACAGAGCAAAACGGUCAUUUGCUCGUCUCGUGUUCUGUAAACCCCACCUUCGAGAAUGUUCCACACAGUAACACGAUACAGGACGAGGUUGCAGAGUAAACAAGAAGCUGAGAGAGAAAGAACGGACAUUUUGUUCUGUGAUUUUGAGCACACGUGAUGUGUCUGCAAAUAGUGAGUGGCUGGAGCAUUGCAGGAAACUAGUUACAUUUUCAGAGGCAUUCGAGGGGUCAAAUAUUUAGCAAUAACCCCAAAUGGUGCUUAGUCUUGGAUCAAGGUUUCUUCCUAAUAUUCCUAUGUUAGAAGAAACCUUGAUAUGAACCAUGGUUUAAAAGGAGGAACAUGUCAACAGUGGGUACUGGGAUUAGUUUAGGAAAUGCACAAAUGGAGUGGAAAAAAGUGACUUCUGGCUCAGACAGACAGAAGAUCCAUGAGAUGCAACAACGACCAUCAGAAUACAGCUGGACGUAAGCAGUAUAAUAUAUGAAUGUGAGAACAUGGAUGCGGCACACCUAUAAAAAAAAAAAGAGAGAGAAAGAAAGAAGACGCUUCGAACAUCAGGCAGUUGCUCUAACCUCACAACAUAGCAGGACUAAAAAUGGGAGCAGCCUGGAGGGUGGAGGGCACACGCAGCUCCCUCAGAAGUGCUUUUGUCUUGUUCUAUUUUAAACAUUGAGAGGCACGGACAGAGAGAAAACCCUGCUGUCAAGAAACUGCUUUCAUACGCACCGGAUCCCUAAAGAAGAUUCUCAUCAUCUGAAUAGUUAUCUGUUAGGCCAUGUUUGUGAGUACGCUCUGAGAGUACGUCUGAUUUAGGAGCUAAUCGAUGUUGGCUGGUUAAAGAUCUGCAGAUGUGGAGAAUUUCCAGUGGAUUGAGUGUUUAGGGUUCAAAGGUCAGAUUAUACGGUUAAACCCAUGACAACAUGACUACAGGGUACGCACACAGUGUUUGUAUUUAAAUAAAGCCUUUUGAGACGUAAGUACUCUUGAUUGAGACUUGCUUCAAAAGUGAUCGAAUGAGAGAGAAUUACUAUGGAGAUGAUUUCAUUAUCUAUCUGUAAUUGUGUAUGUCAUUGAAAGAGCCUUACUGGUUUCAUGUUAGUCAGUACUUGAAAUGCUGAAAUAUUUGAGGAAAUAUGAGUGGGAUAUGAGGCGUUGUUCAGCAACCACCUAUAUUGCUGUCAAUCCAGUUAAUACAAAACGGUUACUUGAAUCUCCUGGAAUUUCAUUAUGAAGUUCAUUUAAAGUGCUGCAGAUUAAUGAUGUUUAAAAGGAAAUGGAUUAUUAGUAGUCUAUACUUAGUAGCGUAAGAAUUACACAAUUCUGUAUUUUGUAUAUUAUUUCAUUAACACAAGCCUGACCUUUUUGGAUAAUGUAUAUAUGAAAAAAUACAAACGUCUAUAUUCCUUUAUAUAUUUUUGUGUACCGUGCCUAUUUUUUAAGGCCCACAGUCUUUUUCAUCUUUUGUUCUGCUCUUAUGUGUGCACUCUCACUCUCUCUCUCUCUCUCUCUCUCUCUCUCUCUCUCUCGGUGUUGAAUGAAUCAUUUACCCAUUCUUAAUGUCCUAUGUUUCUAUGUACAUAUAAAUCAUGCAUAAAACACUUUAUAGCAAUGGGAGUGUAGGUGUGAGUGGGUGUUAUAGCAGGAUAUGAUUCACUUGGAGACUUAAAGGAGAAAAUCUGGUUUCACCGCUUUGCACUAAACACCUCCCUCAGAAGCCGUGUCUUUCGGAUGCGGUGUCAUUAAAGGCUGUUCCAUUUUAAAGGGUGUUUCAAAUACGCCAAUGAACUGCAGCCUGCUUUCUGAGUGCUCAGUAACUGUGUACUAUAUCACACAACCUGAGAAUGUGAAGAAAAUGGUAGAAAUAAUAGUAAACGUCAAUGAGGUACAAGUCGAUGAGAAAGCAUGAGCCACUUGUAUCAAAAUCUGUCAAUUAUACUGCGGAUCACGUGGGAUGAGGCUUUUUUUAUGAGACAUCAUGGCGUUUUUGCAGAUUUUUUUUGUGUGUGGGGCGACUGGAUACAGAGGAGGCAUAGUGCCGAGGAAGUAAAGAUGCACAUCCAGUGUGCAGCACAGCGCUAUUGAGUGUAGUUGCAUUUACAUUUACCUCAUUUGGCUGAUGCUUUUAUACAAAGUGACUUAUAAUAGAGACAGGAUACUGGUGGGCAGUUGGGGGUUAAGGGACCCAACAGUAGAGAUGCUGGAAUUUGCACUAACAAUCUUCCUAUCAGUAGACCAAUCCCCUAACUUCUGAGCCACCACUACCCAGAAAUAUGCAGAAUGAGCAAGGUAUUUCAGUGCAAUGAGAGGAGUUUCACUAAGAAGCAAUGUGUCCAGAAAGGCUUGUUGAUAGAUUUUCAUAGAAAACUCACCUCACAAGCAGUAGAUGGAUCUUCAAUUACAGGCCCAAAACCCUCAAAUUGCUUCUUUAAUGCUUUUGGCACAAAAUGAACUUCAUUGAAUUGGAACAGAUAUUUUUUUCCUUCUGUUGUCAAAGCACCAUUUCCCAUUUUCUCAGCUCUUAAGUUUCACUCCUUUAAUAUUACAAUAGUACAAAGUUUGGGACUUUUGGAAGAGAAGAAAAAUAAGUUGCAGAAAUCAUUCAGAACUUGGAUCUCCUCACCAUUCACACACUAUAGAAAAUUUUGAGCUUUUUGUUCUUUUGUAACAUAUAUUAUAAAGUUCUAGGUCUUACUUUAUUAUAUGAUUAUGUAGUAAUGUAAGUACUUAAGUGCCUUGUGAUUAUUUUUUUAAUGUUUUAAUUCUAGAUAUUGGUGUUUUCUGUAUGGUUGUUUACAUGUACUGGAAUAAAGUACCUUUUAAACUGUG
ensembl:lncRNA